GACGUAGGGCGCGAGCGUUGUCCGGAUUUAUUGGGCGUAAAGAGCUCGUAGGCGGCUUGUCGCGUCGAAUGUGAAAACUCGGGGCUCAACUCCGAGCUUGCAUUCGAUACGGGCAGGCUAGAGUUCGGUAGGGGAGACUGGAAUUCCUGGUGUAGCGGUGAAAUGCGCAGAUAUCAGGAGGAACACCGGUGGCGAAGGCAGGUCUCUGGGCCACUACUGACGCUGAGAAGCGAAAGCAUGGGGAGCGAACAGG
rnacentral:rRNA from 1 species